CAGUGGCUGCCACGCUGUCGUCCAGGAUUUAUUAGAGCGCUGUCUGUCGAGCCUACAGAAAAUGGAGAACAAGAAGAAAAAACAGAUUUAGAUGGAUGGAUAUCAGAAAACGAGAUGAUGACAGACAUGCAUAAAGUGCCGCCCAACAGCUAAUGUUUUUUUUUCUUAUUUCAGGUUUACUAAUAGUCAUUCUGUGAAAAUUGUAUGUCUUCCAUUUCUAUAGCUGUCUUUAGUGGCGUAAGGAUAGUACCAACGCAUUGGAUUUUUUUCUAACACAUGGGAGAGUGUUCACUAUUUCGGCAAUGCGUUGUGCUAAUUUAUGUCAUUGUUUCAAACCUGAAAUUCGUUACUGUUGCCCCACUUUUUUUUUUUUAAUACCAGCCAUGCUUAUAUUAUACAACGGAAAUGCAUUAAUAUCUCUCUAGAUCAUUCUGUAUAUAGAGCUUAAAAAAAAAACAUGAACAUGGAGAUUAUUUUAAUUUUUGAGUCUAGAAAUAUUUGGAAACUUUUCCUGUGAAACACACGGUGUCUCGGUUCAUUUCUUCAUUUUUGCAUAUUGUCGAUAGCGUGUGUGUGUAUAUAAACUUUGAACAUGUAAUAUGGCUUUGUUAGCAAUGAAUAUUAUGAGUUUGAAGAUAAAUCCUGUAAAGUUGAAUGAAGUUGAAUAAAUAUGCUCACAUAUAGCCAAUUAAAAAACCUUUUACUGCAAUCGGAA